GACGUAGGGCGCGAGCGUUGUCCGGAUUUAUUGGGCGUAAAGAGCUCGUAGGCGGCUUGUCGCGUCGACUGUGAAAACCCGCGGCUCAACUGCGGGCCUGCAGCCGAUACGGGCAGGCUAGAGUUCGGUAGGGGAGACUGGAAUUCCUGGUGUAGCGGUGAAAUGCGCAGAUAUCAGGAGGAACACCGGUGGCGAAGGCGGUUCUCUGGGCAUUACCUGACGCUGAGACGCGAAAGCGUGGGGAGCGAACAGG
rnacentral:rRNA from 1 species